CUCUAAAAUUUCUAGCAACAAAUGAUAUUCUACAGUACAUUGAAAACAGAACUUCUCAAAAUGCUUCGUGCAUGGUCUCUACUCUUAGUAAGAGGCAAAACUUUUCUCACUAAGACAAGAAAUAAUAAUGCUCCAAGUGGGUGCCUACAGAGCCACCUUGGAAAAGGUGCAGAGAGAGCAUGCUACUCAGAGUAGCAACAUCUGUAUAGGUAUUGUAGAAGAUGUAAGGAUUUUUUAAGGUGACAUAGUGGUAAAUUUUGGAUAGCAUUUUUACCAAAUAGCAGGCGGAUGUUCAAUUCUCCUACUCAAGCAGAGUAUCAGGAUAAUAGGCUGAAUACUAAAAAAAGGAAAAUGUGUAGGUGUUGCUAAAUUACAACUGCCCAACAGAUCCAUCAAAACACGGCCAAUGUGAGAGAUACUGUGGACUGCCCAACAUAUAUGACUCAUUCCUUUCUACAGUGAUGUUUUUUGAAUUAUCAUUCUGAGGGCACUUUUUUUUUUUUUUUGCUUGCAAGAAUCUAGGUUGUAGAUAAGCAACUGUAAGAAGAUGCAAAAGCAGCCCUGAGAUUGGGCUAUUCUAAAUUGAUCAUAUUUUCCCUAACAUGAGCUUUAGCUUAUAACAAGGUUAAAAUGAAAAAAGUACCUCUGGAAAAAGAGUAACAUAUUUCAACAUGUAUUUAACUUUAGAGAACAUGAAAUUAAACUUAAUUACCAAGAACUGAAGAGGCAAAUUGCUAAAAGGUAUAGAUAGAAUGAAGAAAGGACAAGAUGCCAUUCUAUAGUAAAGGACAAAAGCAUUUUUAGAUUUCCAAAUAACACAUUGAAGACCAAAAUGCUCCACCAAAGCUAGUCCACAAAAAUUAAGGCAAAGCAGGAUCUUGAAAGUCUUACUGCCUGUUUGUUAAGUUAAGACUUUCAUCAAUCAGCCACUAUAAUAGUUCUGUCUCUGCAAACACACUAGGAGUACAUUGGACAAAUAGUGUGCUAAUUAAAAACAAUUCUCUAGAAUUCCUCUUCUAAAUAAUUUGCAGAUCUCAAGAGAUAACACAGAAUUUUUACAACUGCAGGAGGAAGAAUGGAUACUUUUUAUAAGGGAUGAAACCAGAGAAACAUCAGCAGGCCUAGGAUUUUGCAAACGCAUCCCAGUAA